rnacentral:rRNA from 1 species
GACGAACGCUGGCGGCGUGCUUAACACAUGCAAGUCGAACGGAAAGGCCCUGCUUUUGUGUGGUGCUCGAGUGGCGAACGGGUGAGUAACACGUGAGUAACCUGCCCCUGACUUUGGGAUAACUUCUGGAAACUGCGGCUAAUACCGGAUAGGAGAUCCUGCUGCAUGGUGGGGGUUGGAAAAUUUCGGCGGUUGGGGAUGGACUCGCGGCUUAUCAGCUUGUUGGUGGGGUAGUGGCUUACCAAGGCUUCGACGGGUAGCCGGCCUGAGAGGGUGACCGGCCACACUGGGACUGAGAUACGGCCCAGACUCCUACGGGAGGCAGCAGUGGGGAAUAUUGCACAAUGGGCGGAAGCCUGAUGCAGCGACGCCGCGUGCGGGAUGACGGCCUUCGGGUUGUAAACCGCUUUCGGCUGUGAAGAAGCGAGAGUGACGGUAAUGGCUAAAGAAGCACCGGCUAACUACGUG